CCAUGCCCUGUCCACAGUGGUCACUGCUAUUCCUGGAGGGCCAUUCUGCUCUGGGGUUGGCUGCCAAGCAGACCUCUCCCCACCCUGUCAUCACUGUGCUUCACUUCUGAGGCUCCCACGUCAGCUUUGGAAAGGGCCUCCCUGCUCUUGCCAUGAACCCUGGGGUAGCCUUUCCUUGAAUUCAAGAAUCUCCCAGCUGAAGGAUCUUCAGAAGGGCACUAGCUUCCUCUUCACCUGGGCCACGUCUGGCUGAUACAGUGUCAUCUGGGACCUGUCAGGAAUGAGCAUUCUGCCCGGAAAGUUGCCCUCGAAGUCACUAUGAAGCCUAGGCUGGCCUGGAACUCACAGUGCUCCUCCUGCCCCAGCCUCCUCACUGCUGAGAUUACAGGGUCUUGCUAUGUAGUUCAGGCUGAUCUUGAACUCAUUAUGCAGCCCAGGCGGUCCUGGAACUUACAAGGCUCCUACGGUCUCAGCUUCCCAAGUGCUGGGAUUACAG
ensembl:lncRNA